rnacentral:rRNA from 1 species
GGGAUGAGCUGUGGAUAGGGGUGAAAGGCUAAACAAAUCCGGAAAUAGCUGGUUCUCUCCGAAAACUAUUUAGGUAGUGCCUCGAGAUUACACUGACGGGGGUAGAGCACUGUUAUGGCUAGGGGGUCAUUGCGAUUUACCAACCCAUGGCAAACUCCGAAUACCGUCAAGUGCGUCCUCGGGAGACAGACAGCGGGUGCUAACGUCCGUUGUCAAGAGGGAAACAACCCAGACCGCCAGCUAAGGUCCCAAAUGACAUGCUAAGUGGUAAACGAAGUGGGAAGGCCAAGACAGCCAGGAUGUUGGCUUAGAAGCAGCCAUCAUUCAAAGAAAGCGUAAUAGCUCACUGGUCGAGUCGUCCUGCGCGGAAGAUGUAACGGGGCUCAAGCAUGUAACCGAAGCUGCGGAUGCGUACUUGUACGCAUGGUAGGAGAGCGUUCUGUAGGCCUGCGAAGGUGGUGGUGUAAACCCUGCUGGAGGUAUCAGAAGUGCGAAUGCUGACAUGAGUAGCGAUAAAGCGGGUGAAAGUCCCGCUCGCCGAAAACCCAAGGUUUCCUACGCAACGUUCAUCGGCGUAGGGUGAGUCGGCCCCUAAGGCGAGGCAGAAAUGCGUAGUCGAUGGGAAACGGGUCAAGAUUCCCGUACCGGUUGUGAAUGCGAUGGGGGGACGGAGAAGGGUAGCUCAGCGGCCUGUUGGAAUAGGUCGUUUAAGCGUGUAGGAGUGGUCUCCUGGCAAAUCCGGAGAUCUUAUCUGAGGCGUGAUGACGAGGGUCUACGGACCUGAAGUGAGUAAUCCCAAGCUUCCAGGAAAAGCCUCUAAGCUUCAGUUCACAACUGACCGUACCGCAAACCGACACAGGUGGGUAGGUAGAGAAUACCAAGGCGCUUGAGAGAACUCGGGUUAAGGAACUCGGCAAAUUGACACCGUAACUUCGGGAGAAGGUGUGCCCCGGUAGCGUGUAGGACUUCGCGUCCGAAGCGUGAUGGGGUCGCAGAGAAUAGGUGGCUGCGACUGUUUAAUAAAAACACAGCUCUGUGCCAACACGAAAGUGGACGUAUACGGAGUGACGCCUGCCCGGUGCCGGAAGGUUAAGUGAUGGGGUGCAAGCUCUUGAUCGAAGCCCCGGUAAACGGCGGCCGUAACUAUAACGGUCCUAAGGUAGCGAAAUUCCUUGUCGGGUAAGUUCCGACCCGCACGAAUGGCGUAACGAUGGCCACACUGUCUCAACCCGAGACUCAGCGAAGUUGAAAUGUUUGUGAAGAUGCAAUCUCCCCGCUGCUAGACGGAAAGACCCCGUGAACCUUUACUGUAGCUUUGCAUUGGACUUUGAACAGGCUUGUGUAGGAUAGGUGGGAGGCUUUGAAGCUGAGACGCUAGUUUCAGUGGAGCCGUCCUUGAAAUACCACCCUGGUGUGUUUGAGGUUCUAACCUGGGUCCAUCAUCUGGAUCGGGGACCGUGCAUGGUAGGCAGUUUGACUGGGGCGGUCUCCUCCCAAAGUGUAACGGAGGAGUUCGAAGGUUACCUAGGUACGGUCGGACAUCGUACUGAUAGUGCAAUGGCAAAAGGUAGCUUGACUGCGAGACCGACAAGUCGAGCAGGUGCGAAAGCAGGACAUAGUGAUCCGGUGGUUCUGAAUGGAAGGGCCAUCGCUCAACGGAUAAAAGGUACUCCGGGGAUAACAGGCUGAUUCCGCCCAAGAGUUCAUAUCGACGGCGGAGUUUGGCACCUCGAUGUCGGCUCAUCACAUCCUGGGGCUGUAGCCGGUCCCAAGGGUAUGGCUGUUCGCCAUUUAAAGUGGUACGUGAGCUGGGUUUAAAACGUCGUGAGACAGUUUGGUCCCUAUCUGCAGUGGGCGUUGGAAGUUUGAGGGGGGCUGCUCCUAGUACGAGAGGACCGGAGUGGACGCAUCUCUGGUGUACCGGUUGUGACGCCAGUCGCAUCGCCGGGUAGCUAUAUGCGGAAGAGAUAAACGCUGAAAGCAUCUAAGCGUGAAACUCGCCUCAAGAUGAGACUUCCCUGGAGACUUGAUCUCCCUGAAGGGCCGUGGAAGACCACCACGUUGAUAGGUCGGGUGUGGAAGCGCAGUAAUGCGUUAAGCUAACCGAUACUAAUUACCCGUGAGGCUUGAUCCU